ensembl:lncRNA
UCUAACAUUAAUGUGCACCACAGUUUCUAACAUGAAUGUGCACCACAGUUUCUAACAAUGUGCACCACAGUUUCUAACAAUGUGCACCACAGUUUCUAGCAUUAAUGUGCACCACAGUUUCUAGCAUUAAUGUGCACCACAGUUUCUAACAUGAAUGUGCACCACAGUUUCUAGCAUUAAUGUGCACCACAGUUUCUAGCAUUAAUGUGCACCACAGUUUCUAGCAUUAAUGUGCACCACAGUUUCUAGCAUUACUGUGCACCACAGUUUCUAGCAUUAAUGUGCACCACAGUUUCUAACAUUCAUGUGCACCACAGUUUCUAGCAUUAAUGUGCACCACAGUUUCUAACAUUCAUGUGCACCACAGUUUCUAACAUUAAUGUACACCACAGUUUCCUAUUCUCCUUUAAACUACUACUGCUAGUUUGAUGGUUGUGGCCAUCAAUUGUCCCAAGAACAUUCACCCAUAUUAACAAAGUUAUUUAAUUUCAACAUCACAUUUGUCUAGAAUGGGCUACUUAUCGUAAUGAAGGAUAUCAGUAAAAUGUCUGCAAUGUUACCGGUAUGGUCGGUGUCUACAUUUUUUCAGUUUAUCUUUCCAGCUCUACCCUGUUAAUAAUUUAGCAUAGCAGCCUAGGUAUCCAUUGCAGUUGGAUUGCUAUAUCAUAACAUACCAUAUCUUACACUAUCCUACCAUAACACACCACCCUACCAUAGAAUACCAUAUCCUACCAUACAAUUUUAUACCCUACAAUACUAUAUCAUACCAUACCCUACAUUACAAUAUCCUACCAUACCACAUCCUACCCUACUAUACCAUAUCCUACCAUACUAUACCCUACAAUACCAUAUACUACCAUACCUUAUCCUACCCUACUACCAUAUCCUACCAUACAUCAUUAUACCCUACCCUACAUUAUUAUACCCUACAAUACCAUACCCUACAAUACCAUACCAUACCCUACCAUAUCCUACCAUACGCUACUAUACCAUAUCCUACCAUACAAUACCAUAUCCUACAAUACCAUAUCCUACCAUGCAAUACAAUACCAUAUCCUACCAUACUAUACCCUAUCAUAGCAUUGCCUACCAAACCAUAUCUUCCUAUACCCUACCAUACCAUAUAUCCUACCAUACUAUACCCUACAAUACCAUAUAUCCUACCAUACCAUAUCCUUCCAUACUAUACAGUACCCUACCAUACAAUAGUAUACCAUAACAUAGCCUACCAAACUAUAUCUUCCUAUACCCUCCCAUACCCUACAAUACCAUAUCCUACCAUACAAUACCAUAUCCUACCAUGCCAUAUCCUACCACAUCCUACCAUACUAUGCCCAACCAUACCAUACAUUUCCCUACCAUAACAUACCCUACCAUAACAUACCCUACCAUACCAUAUCCUAACAUGCCAUAUCCUACCAUACUAUACCACAGCCUACCAUACUAUACCAUAGCCUACCAUACUAUACCCUACCAUACAAUACCAUACAGUUCCCUACCAUACUCUACCAUAACAUAGCCUACCAUACUAUAUCCUACCAAACCAUAUCCUACCAAACCAUAUCUUCCUAUACCCUACAAUACCAUAUUACCUACCAUACUAUACCAUACAGUUCCCUAUCAUACCCUACCAUAACAUAGCCUACCAUACUAUAUCCUACCAAACCAUAUCUUCCUAUACCCCUGAAUGGACAAUGAAUGUAAGAUCUCCCUUGACUCCCUGACCUGGUGUGACGCUGCUUCUAAACUAAGCACAGCGACAUCCACCACACUACGACUGCCAGUCUAAGGACUUGUGGGCAGCAUGUAAACAGAUCAUAAUGUAAAUGGUCAAUUCAUAGACAAUCAUUCCUCCCUCCCAAGCAUCUGUCGUUGUUCACGUUCUAAUGAGUCAUUAAAGUGAAGGCGAGUUGAACCACCUGUUUACUCCCCUGGCAGAAUAUGGUCCACAACAUUGACAGAUGGAGGAGCUUCAUUUGAGCCAGUUUGCUACAGAAAAUAAAUGAAUCCUGCAGCAGCACCAGGAAAUGUGGAUUAUAAUGUGGAUUAUAAUGUGGAUUAUAAGACUUGACAGAAGACUUGACAGACAUGCAGUACUCAGGCAGUGAGCCUAAUUCAUCUGUCUUUUUCCCUACCAAUAUUACAUUACAAAUCAGCAACAUCACUGGACUGCGUUGUUCUUCUAGUAGUGGUGAUUGGGGAACGAUCGGUCCACCACAUAUCUGUCCCUCAACCAUCCCAUGACCUAGAUGGCAUGUCUAUUAUAACCACUGCAGCCUGCCUACCAGAAGCAUCAGUCAGAGAAGCUAAGGCCAGUCCUGUGCUCUGUGUCAGGUUUAGACAUUGACCAUGCAGUCUGCUGGUGAUUCAACAGUAGGCUACACUGCCAAUGGCUUUAUAAACCAAGAAGGAACCAUCAGUGUGUAGGCAUAUCCAUAUAUUUAUAUAUCUAGGCCUAUCUUACUGCUAGUGAGACUGCUCUACUCUACAACAGCGUUUUCUCAACCCUCCAUCUCGAUCUGUGUAGUCCCUCAUAUCUUGUUUGCUGCGGACAGCUACUAAGUCAGAUCUUCCAAGAAGGAUAACUAUUGCCAAAGACACUGAUUAGCACUACAGUGCCAAUUCACUAAUGCCACCUUGUGCUCUUGACCCUAUUGUACAGACAGUAGCCUGUAGCCUUGACCGUGGUUACCAUGGGAACCAGGAAGUCAUGUGACUAGAUGAGCCUGUGGCAUGCUGCUCUGUGGGUUUCUAUGUGUUUCAAAUCUCAAUGAAUGCAGCACUAUGCAUAUAGAGGCAUAGAGUAUAAUGCUAUCUAUUGCUUGCACCAAAGAGAAAAAAAACUCACUUUUUAAAAUAAUGUAUUUCUUUCUAAUUUAUUUUAUAUCCUGAAUUACUUGUGUAAAUGAUGACAUUGUCCAUAUUUAUUAAUUUGUGACUUGUGUUUUAUAACAAAACUGUCUUAUUUCUUAUUUCUUUAUGAAUAAUAUUAAAGUGAUUUUACCAAAAUAUGA